UCUCUUAAAUAUGCCUCAAUAAUCCUAAUAAAAUAUACCUACCGUGUCUAUGUUUGAAAAUGGUUUAAAAAUGACGCUUACAAAUUAUUUUAUAACAGUACAGUUAUGUAAUUUAUAAUGUCGGAAAAUAACAGAAAAUGACUCAAAGGAAUCCUUGCAUGAAAGAAGCAUGGGUGAAGGCAUCAUUAUUUUCGCUCUGUGGUAUAUAGUCAUUGCCUACAAUUAUUUGAUGGGAUAUAUGCCAGCCCCAAUGCAAGAUGAACCUCCUGGUCCUGAUGCAAAACAGCCUCCAAAAUGAAAUACCCAUGAAACUGCACUGGUGAUUUUAAAAAGGGAUACAAUUCCUUAGAAGUGAGUUACAUAAUUGAUAAGUCUUGUUGAACACUGAAAUAAAUAUAAAAAGAGAAAUAAAAUGCUGAUGUCAC